GUGCCAGCAGCCGCGGUAAUACGAAGGGGGCUAGCGUUGCUCGGAAUCACUGGGCGUAAAGCGCACGUAGGCGGCUUUUUAAGUCAGGGGUGAAAUCCUGGAGCUCAACUCCAGAACUGCCUUUGAUACUGAGAAGCUUGAGUCCGGGAGAGGUGAGUGGAACUGCGAGUGUAGAGGUGAAAUUCGUAGAUAUUCGCAAGAACACCAGUGGCGAAGGCGGCUCACUGGCCCGGUACUGACGCUGAGGUGCGAAAGCGUGGGGAGCAAACAGGAUUAGAAACCCGCGUAGUCC
rnacentral:rRNA from 1 species